AUUAAGCUAUAUUUCUGCUUUAAAACCUUAUGCUCCAUAUUGUAUGGCUUUAUUCUAUUUAACUUUAUUCAUAUAAUGUUCCUUAUAGGUUGGACACUCUGUCUUCUCUGUACCCACUGUAAAAUUAUAACUGUGUGGAAAAAAAAUUUCUGUCUUGAAAGAAGACAUCCUGCUUCCACCCUAGGAAAUCUAAUAAUGAAAGUGAUGAGAGAGAAAAGCUAAAAUGAAAGAGGAAAAGAGGAUUUCAAAAACAUCCCUCCAAAAGACAGAAUGAAGAAGCUCUCUUCCUAGACUCCGGAGCUGGCAAGGGUACUAAAGGCAGAAUUAUGCCUUGAGGAUGUUUCCAAGCGCAGGAGUUGCUACAAGGGUGUGUCCAGUGUAGCUCCUCAUUCACGACUGUCUGGGAAUGCCAUUAUUUUGGAAGGUUGCCUGAAGCUGUCCCAGAUGCUUCUUACAGAAUAAUAGAAGUGCAUCAAAAAGGCAAAUUCAAUGUGAAAACGCACAUGGUCUUUUGAAUUCUGGAGAAGUUGAAUCUGAUUUCUGGGGAAGCUGUAUGUGCAAUGUUCCUUGAACGGUGGUAAACAGGCUCAUUACUCAAUUAUGGAUAAACCAGGUUUACUGGGAGAACAUAACUUGUGUCACAGGCUGUAAUGAGAUAUACUCUCCAAGAUGAUUUUGCAAGCAACAUGUGAAUGUGGACUUAGGAAUG